ACGGAGGAUCCAAGCGUUAUCCGGAAUCAUUGGGUUUAAAGGGUCCGUAGGCGGUCUUAUAAGUCAGUGGUGAAAUCCCAUCGCUCAACGAUGGAACUGCCAUUGAUACUGUAAGACUUGAAUACUUAGGAAGUAACUAGAAUAUGUAGUGUAGCGGUGAAAUGCUUAGAUAUUACAUGGAAUACCAAUUGCGAAGGCAGGUUACUACUAAUGGAUUGACGCUGAUGGACGAAAGCGUGGGUGGCGAACAGGAUUAGAUACCCUGGUAGUCCACACCGUAAACGAUGGAUACUAGCUGUUGGGCGCAAGUUCAGUGGCUAAGCGAAAGUGAUAAGUAUCCCACCUGGGGAGUACGUUCGCAAGAAUG
rnacentral:rRNA from 1 species